rnacentral:rRNA from 1 species
UUUAAUUCGAAGCAACGCGAAGAACCUUACCUAAGCUUGACAUCCCAAUGACAUCUCCUUAAUCGGAGAGUUCCUUUCGGGGACAUUGGUGACAGGUGGUGCAUGGUUGUCGUCAGCUCGUGUCGUGAGAUGUUGGGUUAAGUCCCGCAACGAGCGCAACCCUUGUCUUUAGUUGCCAUCAUUAAGUUGGGCACUCUAGAGA